GACACUCCUAAAGCGCCAGGUUCUGGGAACAGGGGAUAUUGUACUGAAGGGCACUAUAGGACUUCUUCCUCAUAAGGCCACUACUCUCAAGAGCAGGAGAGAUAGCUGGCUUUCCUAAUACAUAGAAAGAGAAAAAGAGAGGUAACAGAAUG